AAAAAAGUCAAAAUCAUUUAUUUCAAUUAGACCAGGAAGGCACUUUUGAACGUCAAAGCAAAUAUAUUAAUAACGUCUGUCUGUCGGUCAGUCCUCUAGUUGCUCUAUUUGCUCGUUCCAAAGUGUAGAUUCCUAUGGAGAAGAACGAGCAAGAAACUCCAUAGGUUACUCUUUUUCUGUCCUCUAUAUAAUUGCAAGUACCCAAUACAUAAGAAGUGAUCGAUUUUACUCGUAGAUACAUUUACUUAUUGUUUCUUUAUACUUUACUGUGAUUCAGAAUAAUUACAUGAAAUAAACAAACGGACGAAUUUA